GACGAACGCUGGCGGCGUGCUUAACACAUGCAAGUCGAACGAGAUCCCGACCGAGCGAAUCUUCGGAAGAGCGAGGGAGGGUGAAAGUGGCGAACGGGCGAGUAACGCGUGGGCAAUCUGCCCUUCACAGGGGGAUAACACCGGGAAACCGGUGCUAAUACCGCAUAAACCGGCAGCACCGCAUGGUGCAACCGGCAAAGGAGUAAAAUCCGGUGAAGGAUGGGCCCGCGUCCAAUUAGCUAGUUGGUGAGGUAACGGCCCACCAAGGCGACGAUUGGUAGCCGGGCUGAGAGGCCGAUCGGCCGCAUUGGGACUGAGACACGGCCCAGACUCCUACGGGAGGCAGCAGUGGGGGAUAUUGCGCAAUGGGGGAAACCCUGACGCAGCGACGCCGCGUGAAGGAUGAAGGUUUUCGGAUCGUAAACUUCUUUGACCGGGGACGAAGAAAUGACGGUACCCGGGGAACAAGCCACGGCUAACUACGUGCCAGCAGCCGCGGUAAACUACUCGUA
rnacentral:rRNA from 1 species